GUUGCAUUAAAAAAAUGCAAGAGCAAUUGCUGAAGUUUUGGGUUUAUACGAAAUUUGUUUCCAAUUUAUGUAUUUUCAAUAUGGGAAGAGUAAUCUAAAGUAAAAUUUACGUGUGUAAAUGUUUAAAAUACACCAAAAAACCCAUAACGAGAUAUGAAAGAAAGUGGAACUACCUUUCGUAGUUAAGUUGGAUUUAGUAUACUUCGAUUUCUAGGAAAGAAUACUUGAAAGGGUAGGAUCUAUCGCCGUAACUUGGACAAAGGCGAAUAUGAAUCUACAUACAUAUGUAUGUGGGCGGAUGACUUUAUUAAAAUCACGAGCUUCACUUCCAAAGUAGUUCUACUCUUAAAUAACAAUGAAAUACUGAUAGAGUACAACUCAAUAAUAAUGACAGCCAUAUGAUAUUAGAAUGUAAAAACUUUAGGCAAAGCAGAGAAUCCAAAGAAAGUAGGAAGAUGCGCUCUGACUGUCUGUGAAAUUGAAUACAAUGUUAUUUUACCCAAAUUUUGGCAACACACUUUCCUACCCAGGAGGAAUUGAUACACCUUGGAAAGAAAGUUAAAAAAAUUAUGCAUUUACGGAACCAAAUCAACACCUCAUAGUGUUGCAGGCAAGUUCUUAUUGACAUAUUUAAAAUAUUUGCAUAUACAUAAAUAUCAUUAUUGACGCCUUAUAACUUUUUAAGCGGUUUUUGGCCGAUCAUCUCCUGCAUUUCUGUUAUACUUUGCUGUAUUUUCAACAAAGGAAGUGAUCUGCAUUUUAAGUCACACCAGUUUCCUGAGGAAAACUUAUAAGGCGCUUUAUGGGAAAUGCUCAAACGUCUACUACGGCAGAAAUCUUAGCAAAGCUGAGUCAAACAUUCAGAUGUGGGAUAUUAAGUAUUGAUCAAUGCUGGCGAAACUUUAAUUAUUUAUUGACUAAAUUUCUUUGGCACAACCGUACAAAAUAUUAAAUUUAUGAGGAACUUAAAAAGGAAAUAAGGAGCAUUGAAAUGGGCACAAACCUGGUGCCCGGAGUAGAACUAGGAAAUUACUGAGAGCGGAGCUUACACUUUUUAGUAAGUCAGAAUAAAUAAAUCAGAAGUGGUAUAUAAA